GACGAACGCUGGCGGCGUGCCUAAUACAUGCAAGUCGAACGCAGUGGGGACGGGUGAGUAACACGUGGGUAACCUCCCAUCAGAGGGGAUAACACUUGGAAACAGGUGCUAAACCGAUACUGAUGGAUGGACCCGCGGUGCAUUAGCUAGUGGGGGGGGUAACGGCCCAGCAAGGCCACGAUGCAUAGCUGGCCUGAGAGGAUGACCAGCCACACUGGAACUGAGACACGGCCCAGACUCCUACGGGAGGCAGCAGUAGGAAAUCUUCGGCAAUGGGCGAAAGUCUGACCGAGCAAUGCCGCGUGAGUGAAGAAGGUUUUCGGAUCGUAAAACUCUUUUGGUAGGGAAGCGGUAUCUAACCAGAAAGCCACGGCUAACUACGUGCCAGCCGCCGCGGUAAUUC
rnacentral:rRNA from 1 species